GAUGAACGCUGGCGGCGUGCUUAACACAUGCAAGUCGAACGAUGAAGCCCAGCUUGCUGGGUGGAUUAGUGGCGAACGGGUGAGUAACACGUGAGUAACCUGCCCUUAACUCUGGGAUAAGCCUGGGAAACUGGGUCUAAUACCGGAUAGGAGCGUCCACCGCAUGGUGGGUGUUGGAAAGAUUUAUCGGUUUUGGAUGGACUCGCGGCCUAUCAGCUUGUUGGUGAGGUAAUGGCUCACCAAGGCGACGACGGGUAGCCGGCCUGAGAGGGUGACCGGCCACACUGGGACUGAGACACGGCCCAGACGCCUACGGGAGGAAGCAGUGGGGAAUAUUGCACAAUGGGCGCAAGCCUGAUGCAGCGACGCCGCGUGAGGGAUGACGGCCUUCGGGUUGUAAACCUCUUUCAGUAGGGAAGAAGCGAAAGUGACGGUACCUGCAGAAGAAGCACCGGCUAACUACGCG
rnacentral:rRNA from 1 species